UACGAAGGGGGCUAGCGUUGUUCGGAAUCACUGGGCGUAAAGCGCACGUAGGCGGAUGUGUCAGUCAGGGGUGAAAUCCCGGGGCUCAACCUCGGAACUGCCUUUGAUACAGCACGUCUCGAGUCCGGAAGAGGUGGGUGGAAUUCCUAGUGUAGAGGUGAAAUUCGUAGAUAUUAGGAAGAACACCGGUGGCGAAGGCGGCCCACUGGUCCGGUACUGACG
rnacentral:rRNA from 1 species